UACGUAGGGUGCAAGCGUUGUCCGGAAUUAUUGGGCGUAAAGAGCUCGUAGGCGGUUUGUCACGUCGGAUGUGAAAACCCGAGGCUUAACCUCGGGCCUGCAUUCGAUACGGGCUGACUAGAGUUCGGUAGGGGAGACUGGAAUUCCUGGUGUAGCGGUGAAAUGCGUAGAGAUCGUAAGGAAGACCAGUGGCGAAGGCGGGUCUCUGGACAGUUCCUGACACUGAGGCACGAAGGCCAGGGGAGCAAACGGG
rnacentral:rRNA from 1 species